AGAGAGAGGCUGCCGAUGGAUGGAGAGGGAACAAAAUAAAAAGAAAUUCGGGAAGAGAGGAGUGCAACCAAGCAGAGAAGCGAGUUGGCUGAGAGGAACUAAAAAGAGGAAGAGAGUCCACUCGAUUUAUUUCUGUCUCGCGAAUCCGAGAGGGUGGACCGGAUAACAGAGGGUCCGAAGGGGAGUGAAUAUCCCGGAUAUGUUCUGUAUAUGAGGCCAGAGUUGUGACCGAGAAAGAGAAGGGCGGAAGGGUCAUGUCUGGCAUGUAGAAUGCAAGCCGUGUGUGUGUGUGUGUGGCCCUAGUGGUCGGUGUUUGUGCGUUAUUUGCUGGUGUGAACAGUACAGGUAGAGAAAUGGGUCGGUGGAGCAGAAUGUGAAAUCCGAUAGAAAAUUAGUUAAAAUAAGAGAGAGAUGAGGGAUAAUCAUGAAAACAAAACAUGGAGUUAUGAAUGAGUGAAAUAAGUAACUGUGUUGGGUGAUUCAGUUGACAAAUAUAUAUUGUUUUAAUGUUUUUCAGUUGCUAGAUAAGAGUUGUUGUAUGUAUAUGAAAGAGAUGAGGGGAGCUCAUGGAAAUAAAAGUAGCGAUUCUAAUAAGUUAAA